rnacentral:rRNA from 1 species
GACGAACGCUGGCGGCGUGCUUAACACAUGCAAGUCGAACGGUGAAGUAGAGCUUGCUCUAUGGAUCAGUGGCGAACGGGUGAGUAACACGUGGGCAACCUGCCCCAGACUCUGGGAUAACUCCUCGAAAGAGGGGCUAAUACCGGAUAUUUGCAUUGCAAGACAUCUUGUGAUGCAGAAAGAAUUUCGGUCUGGGAUGGGCCCGCGGCCUAUCAGCUUGUUGGUGAGGUAACGGCUCACCAAGGCGACGACGGGUAGCCGGCCUGAGAGGGCGACCGGCCACACUGGGACUGAGACACGGCCCAGACUCCUACGGGAGGCAGCAGCGGGGAAUAUUGGGCAAUGGGCGCAAGCCUGACCCAGCAACGCCGCGUGAGGGAUGAAGGUCCUCGGAUUGUAAACCUCUUUCAGCAGGGACGAAGCGAAAGUGACGGUACCUGCAGAAGAAGCACCGGCUAACUACGUGCCAGCCGCCGCCGUAA